CACUGAAGGUUACAUGAGAUUGUCCAAGAUGGAUACCAUUAUGGAAAUGUAAAUGGCGACCGUUAAAGUGAAUAGUUAGUAUGGUGCUUUGUUUGCGCUAUCAUGUGUGAAAUUGCCGGUCUAAUAAUACGUAGGCAGAGAGAAAUAAAUGAGAAAAUAUCGGUUACAUGGUUUAGUGAACAGUUAAUCAUUUGUUGCUAGCGUUCCUCAUAUAAAAUGCAAGGUUGACGCCACUGAUGUUCGUUUCGUUCAGUGAAUCAUUCGAAGCACCGAAACUGGCGAAAGAGUAGUCAUCGUCUGGCUUGGUGAAUCCUUGCUCUGUUACUGGUCUGCUGUCCGUGGUGGAGGAAGUGUAAGCGGGAAAGUAAUCUGAUUGGCAGUGGAAGGGAGCAGAGGAGGUUCAUGGCUCCUCACCUCGGACUAACCCGUACUUGUCCGUGGCCUGGAUUGAAUGGCGUUUCUUGGCCCCUUAACUACAAGGGUCUGCAUGUGUUGGAUUGGUGCUGCCUCCAGUGUGUUGGUGCUGCUGCUUUGAAGAUUCGUUGUUGCUGACAUGCUUGUUGAAUCUAUACUUAAUGUCAUCCUUGUGUGUCAGACUUGUGGACUUGCUGUAAUGCAGGUUAAUAAGCUUCCAGUGUUAAGAGUUCUGAGGACUCCCAAAUAUAUAUAUAUAUUUAUUUUGUUUUUUUUUUUUAUAAAUUUUUCCAAUUGUGGAAAUGCUUUUCCUUGAUCUCCGGAGAGUCUUUGAGGUAUCAAUAACUUAUAUCCAUAUCCAGAGUUUUAUAAAGUACUAAAGUACACAAGUUCUGAGAUUUUGACUAAAUAACACUAUAGCACAGCACUAACACACUUUAGCUGGUUUUCGUGUGUUAAACUUUUAAGUUUAAAGCUAUAAACCCUACUACUAUCCCAGCUUUAAAGUCAAAGUUUAAGAAGGCAUAAAAGAAACCUAUGCAUAACCCUUUGUGGUUUGAAGUGGAAACUAAAGUAUGGAUAGUAGGUAUGAUACGUUGGGUAUAGUCUGUAGAAACUGAAAAUCCACGAAAUGAAUACUAAAGUAUGGUAUGGUAGGUAUAGUCUGUGUAGUACUUUUCAUGCAGGGUCUGUGGUAGUUCAUGGCAUGGAGUAGUUUCUUCAGUUUCCACUCUGUGCUGCCUUGCACCUUUACCCUUGCAAGGUAUGUCUUACAUGCAAUGCAAUGAACUACCACAGACCUUGCAUUUAAAGUACUAUACAGACUAUACCUACCAUACUCGUGAAAAAGACUAUACCUUUCCUGCAAUACCUUUCAUGCAACACACUACGUUUCAACACAAGCAAUACCUAUUGUACCUUUACUAUACCUUCCAUGUAUCUAAAAGGGCAAAGAUCAGGAGUGCAGCCCAAAAGAAAACGCCUUAGUGAGCAGAGCCAAGAUCUUGCAGACAUGUACAAACUUUGACAAAAGCUACAGUACAGUCUGCAGGAUGUCCCAGGAUCGGGCAC